rnacentral:rRNA from 1 species
UGCGGAGGGUGCGAGCGUUGUCCGGAAUCACUGGGCGUAAAGGGCGCGUAGGCGGCGCGGGGAGUCAACGGUGAAAGCUCGGCGCUCAACGCCGAGUCGGCCGUCGAUACUCCCGUGCUCGAGCACUGGUAGAGGCAGGUGGAAUUCCGGGUGUAGCGGUGGAAUGGCGUAGAGAUCCGGAAGAACACCGGUGGCGAAGGCGGCCUGCUGG